AACGAACGCUGGCGGCAGGUCUUAGGCAUGCAAGGGGAACGGGUGUAGUAAUACACCAGUGGCGAACGAGUGAGUAACGCGUGGGAAUCUGCCCAUCUCUGGGGAAUAACGUUUGGAAACGAACGCUAAUACCGCAUACGCCCGCAAGGGGAAAGAUUUAUCGGAGAUGGAUGAGCCCGCGUUGGAUUAGUUAGUUGGUGGGGUAACGGCCUACCAAGGCGAUGAUCCAUAGCUGGUCUGAGAGGACGAUCAGCCACGCGGGAACUGAGAUACGGUCCAGACUCAUACGGGAGGCAGCAGCUAAGAAUAUUGGGCAAUGGAGGAAGCUCUGACCCAGCCAUGCCGCGUGAAUGAAGAAGGCCUUCGGGUUGUAAAGUUCUUUUAGUCGUGACGAUGAUGACGGUAGCGACAGAAAAAGCACCGGCUAACUUCGUGCCAGCCGCCGCAGUAA
rnacentral:rRNA from 1 species